CACAGCUUGUGGCUCCUGCCCGCUCGUUCUCGCCAGGCUGUGCUCUUGCUACUAAAAUCUGACCCCCGACUAAUAUUGGCCUCGUCUGGCAGCUUCUGAGACACACAGCCUUCAGGCCUCACCCAGAGUUCUGGAAUCAAACAGGGUCCUCAGGAAAGGUGGUUGCUGUGGCUGGAUGUGAAAUAUUACUUCUAAGCGUGGAACCAAAUGAAAGUUCGAUCUUGACGGGGUAGCUGAUGAUAAAGAAGAAAGAAGAUUUUGGUGGCCUUGUGUCCGGAUGUGUCUCCAGGGGCCCCGUUACUCCAAGGAAAAGCCAAUGGAUUUGGUGUGAAGGAAAUUGGACUCCAGUCCCGCCCCUGCCCCUGGGAGCCUCUAGAACAUUGGACAAUCUGCUGAACUAAUUGUCCAUAAGUGUGAAGCAGGGGGUUUGCUCUCUGGUUGCCACAGCUCUAUGGCUUUGGAGCCCGGCCCGCCAUUCUCUUGUUUGUUCUCCACAGGGACAGGAACCACCAACCCCGUCCCCAACUGUGUGGGUCCCCCCAGGUGACUGUAUUCGAUUCUUCAGGCCUGGGAGAAUUUUAACGAGAAAGACUUGGCCAUACCUCAUUGGCCUGAAUUUCACAUCAGCACAAGAAGUGAGAACUUACCUGGCCCGUCGUAUCGUGCCCUCUAAGCUCACCGAGUGCUUUCGAUUGUAGAAGAGGGAUUCACAGAAAAAGAUGGCUUUUCAUGUGUGAAAAAGGCGUCUUUUGGUUUUGUGGCAAAUAAGCUAUAUGAUAUACCUGUGGUUUAUAACAAAACCAGGAGUCGUGAUUUGUACGAGGGAACGAGAGUAGCUUCAAAGCCAUGCUCGCGGUGAGACGCUGCCGGUUGACUCCAAGUGGAAAAGACGCUUCCUGGUUCUGGACGUGUUGCCUUGGAAGGGUUUCCGUUACAGUGGAAAAGCGAGGCCAGAUAAAAUGCCCAGUGUGAGUCCAAGAAGCCU